rnacentral:rRNA from 1 species
GACGAACGCUGGCGGCGUGCUUAACACAUGCAAGUCGAACGGAAAGGCCCUGCUUUUGUGGGGUGCUCGAGUGGCGAACGGGUGAGUAACACGUGAGUAACCUGCCCUUGACUUUGGGAUAACUUCAGGAAACUGGGGCUAAUACCGGAUAGGAGCUCCUGCUGCAUGGUGGGGGUUGGAAAGUUUCGGCGGUUGGGGAUGGACUCGCGGCUUAUCAGCUUGUUGGUGGGGUAGUGGCUUACCAAGGCUUUGACGGGUAGCCAGCCUGAGAGGGUGACCGGCCACAUUGGGACUGAGAUACGGCCCAGACUCCUACGGGAGGCAGCAGUGGGGAAUAUUGCACAAUGGGCGGAAGCCUGAUGCAGCAACGCCGCGUGCGGGAUGACGGCCUUCGGGUUGUAAACCGCUUUCGCCUGUGACGAAGCGUGAGUGACGGUAAUGGGUAAAGAAGCACCGGCUAACUACGU